rnacentral:rRNA from 1 species
AGUGAACGCUGGCGGCAGGCCUAACACAUGCAAGUCGAGCGGCAGCGCGGGGGCAACCCUGGCGGCGAGCGGCGGACGGGUGAGGAAUUCGUCGGAAUCUGCCUUUUUGUGGGGGAUAACGUAGGGAAACUUACGCUAAUACCGCAUACGUCCUACGGGAGAAAGUGGGGGACCGCAAGGCCUCACGCAGAAAGAUGAGCCGACGACCGAUUAGCUAGUUGGUGGGGUAAAGGCCCACCAAGGCGACGAUCGGUAGCUGGUCUGAGAGGAUGAUCAGCCACACUGGGACUGAGACACGGCCCAGUCUCCUACGGGAGGCAGCAGUGGGGAAUAUUGGACAAUGGGCGCAAGCCUGAUCCAGCCAUGCCGCGUGUGUGAAGAAGGCCUUCGGGUUGUAAAGCACUUUUGUCCGGAAAGAAAUCCCUGGAGCUAAUACCUUCGGGGGAUGACGGUACCGGAAGAAUAAGCACCGGCUAACUUCGUG